rnacentral:rRNA from 1 species
CAAUAUCUAUUAUAAUUAAAUAAAUUUUAAUUUUAUUUUAUUUAUAUAAAUAAAAUCAUUAUAUUUUUCUAAGCUAUUUAUGUAAAAUUACUUAAAAACUUUUCAAUUUGUAAAGAAUAAAUAAAAAUUAUAGUGGGUACAAUCUUACUAUUUAGUAAUUUAUGUUCAUUUCUAAAUAGCAUUUAAUUUAUUAUAGAAUAAAAGUUUAUUUAGGACCAGGAUUAGAUACCCUGUUACUAAACUUAAAAUUUUUAAUUUAAUACUAAAAUAGUAUAAAGAAAAUGAAUUUUUUUCUUUUUAUUUAAAGUUGAAUAAAUUUAUUUGAGUAGUAAAAGUUUAGCUUCAAACUCAAAGAAAAUUGGCGGUGCUUUAAAUUUUCAGGGGAACUUGUUAAUUAAAUUGAUAAUCCACAAUAUACCUUACCACCAUUUGAAUUUUAAGAAUAAAAAUUUUCAGUCUAUGUACGGCUGUCUAGAUUCUCUUUAAGAGGAAAUCUUGUUUACUUAAGUUUUUACAAAUUAUAUUUAAUUAAUAUGAUUCUUGUAUUAAAUUUAAGUAUAAUGUCAAGUAUAUGUGUAGCUAAUAUGGUGGGUUAAAAUGAGUUACAAUUUAGACUAAAUUUAAUUUUUGGAUAUAUAAACAAUUUUAAAUAUUAAAAUAUUAUUUUUCCAAAUAUUACUAUAAAUGUUAAGGACAUAUGGAUUAUGAAACUUCAUAACUAAAAUGUUAACUAUUUUAUCCUUUAGUGAAAAUACCAUUUAUAGCAGGACUUGAAUGUAAGAUCGCUAUAAUCUUUUUCUCAAAUUUUUAUAUAUAAAUUAUUCCGACUAUCAAUAAAGUCAUUUAUCUAUAAAAUGAGUUAAAUAUUUAGUUUAAAGAUAAAGCAUCUGAAUAUAUCUUAAAGUGUGUACAUAUCGCCCGUCGCUCUUCCUGUGAAGUCUAAUGCUGAUUAAGAAAAUAAUUUUUUUAUAUAUUAGUUAAAAUUUUUAAAUUUAUUAUCAUUAAUCUAUUUUUCUUUUUCACGCUUACUAAAUUAGAUUAUAAUUAUUAUAGUAAGUCACUA